AUUGAACGCUGGCGGCAGGCCUAACACAUGCAAGUCGAGCGAGCGGCGGACGGGUGAGUAAUGUCUGGGGAACUGCCCGAUGGAGGGGGAUAACUACUGGAAACGGUGGCUAAUACCGCAUACCAUCGGAUGUGCCCAGAUGGGAUUAGCUAGUAGGUGGGGUAAAGGCUCACCUAGGCGACGAUCUCUAGCUGGUCUGAGAGGAUGAUCAGCCACACUGGAACUGAGACACGGCCCAGACUCCUACGGGAGGCAGCAGUGGGGAAUAUUGCACAAUGGGCGCAAGCCUGAUGCAGCCAUGCCGCGUGUAUGAAGAAGGCCUUAGGGUUGUAAAGUACUUUCAGCGAGGAGGCGUUACCCGCAGAAGAAGCACCGGCUAACUCCGUGCCAGCAGCCGCGGUAAUUC
rnacentral:rRNA from 1 species